AAUCAACGCUGGCGGCGUGCCUCAGACAUGCAAGUCGAACGCGAAAGUUUCCUUCGGGGAACAAGUAGAGUGGCGCACGGGUGAGUAACACGUAGGUAAUCUACCUUUGGAUGGGGAAUAACAACCGGAAACGGUUGCUAAUACCGCAUAAUGCAGCGGCACCUAAUGGUGACAGUUGUUAAAGCGGGGGAUCGAAAGACCUCGCGUCUGAAGAGGAGCCUGCGGCGGAUUAGCUAGNGGUAAGGUAAUGGCUUACCAAGGCGACGAUCCGUAACCGGCCUGAGAGGGCGGUCGGUCACACUGACACUGACAUACGGGUCAGACUCCUACGGGAGGCAGCAGUCGGGAAUUUUGGGCAAUGGGCGAAAGCCUGACCCAGCAACGCCGCGUGAAGGAUGAAAUCCCUCGGGAUGUAAACUUCGCAAGAACGGGAAGAAUAAGCGAGAGUUAAUAUCUUUCGUGAUGACGGUACCGUUUGUAAGCUCCGGCUAACUCCGUGCCAGCAGCCGCCGUAA
rnacentral:rRNA from 1 species